AUUGAACGCUGGCGGCAGGCCUAACACAUGCAAGUCGAACGGUAACAGGAAGAAGCUUGCUUCUUUGCUGACGAGUGGCGGACGGGUGAGUAAUGUCUGGGAAACUGCCUGAUGGAGGGGGAUAACUACUGGAAACGGUAGCUAAUACCGCAUAACGUCGCAAGACCAAAGAGGGGGACCUUCGGGCCUCUUGCCAUCGGACGUGCCCAGAUGGGAUUAGCUUGUUGGUGGGGUAACGGCUCACCAAGGCGACGAUCCCUAGCUGGUCUGAGAGGAUGACCAGCCACACUGGAACUGAGACACGGUCCAGACUCCUACGGGAGGCAGCAGUGGGGAAUAUUGCACAAUGGGCGCAAGCCUGAUGCAGCCAUGCCGCGUGUAUGAAGAAGGCCUUCGGGUUGUAAAGUACUUUCAGCGGGGAGGAAGGGAGUAAAGUUAAUACCUUUGCUCAUUGACGUUACCCGCAGAAGAAGCACCGGCUAACUCCGUG
rnacentral:rRNA from 1 species